AAUGAACGCUGGCGGCAGGCCUAAACAUGCAAGUCGAGCGCCCUAGCAAUAGGGAGCGGCGCACGGGUGAGUAACACGUGGGAAUAUGCCUUUUGGUACGGAACAACCUCGGGAACUGAGGCUAAUACCGUAUGGUCCCUUCGGGGUAAAGAUUUAUCGCCAAAGAGUAGCCCGCGUUGGAUUAGCUAGUUGGUAAGGUAACGGCUUACCAAGGCGACGAUCCAUAGCUGGUCUGAGAGGACGAUCAGCCACACUGGGACUGAGACACGGCCCAGACUCCUACGGGAGGGCAGCAGUUAGGAAUAUUGGACAAUGGGCGGCAAGCCUGAUCCAGCCAUGCCGCGUGAGUGAUGAAGGCCUUCGGUUG
rnacentral:rRNA from 1 species